ACUUUCUUAGUAUAACCAGUACAACUGACUUCCAAUCAGUUAGAUCUAGAAAUUUAACCUAGAAGAAAGUA
rnacentral:tRNA from 1 species